rnacentral:rRNA from 1 species
CCUACGGGGGGCAGCAGUGAGGAAUAUUGGACAAUGGGCGCAAGCCUGAUCCAGCCAUGCCGCGUGCAGGAUGACGGUCCUAUGGAUUGUAAACUGCUUUUGCACAGGAAGAAACAACAUUACGUGUAAUGUCUUGACGGUACUGUGAGAAUAAGGAUCGGCUAACUCCGUGCCAGCAGCCGCGGUAAUACGGAGGAUCCAAGCGUUAUCCGGAAUCAUUGGGUUUAAAGGGUCCGUAGGCGGUCUUAUAAGUCAGUGGUGAAAUCUCCCCGCUCAACGGGGAAACGGCCAUUGAUACUGUAGGACUUGAAUUAUUAGGAAGUAACUAGAAUAUGUAGUGUAGCGGUGAAAUGCUUAGAGAUUACAUGGAAUACCAAUUGCGAAGGCAGGUUACUACUAAUUGAUUGACGCUGAUGGACGAAAGCGUGGGUAGCGAACAGGAUUAGAUACCCCGGUAGUC